UAAUACGAAGGGGGCUAGCGUUGUUCGGAAUCACUGGGCGUAAAGCGCACGCAGGCGGAUUGAUAAGUCAGGGGUGAAAUCCCGAGGCUCAACCUCGGAAUUGCCUUUGAUACUGUCUAUCUUCGAGUUCGGGAGAGGUUGGCGGAAUUCCUAGUGUAGAGGUGAAAUUCGUAGAUAUUAGGAAGAACACCAGUGGCGAAGGCGGCCAACUGGCCCGAUACUGACGCUCAUGUGCGAAAGCGUGGGGAGCAAACAGGAUUAGAUACCCUGGUAGUCCACGCCGUAAACUAUGGAUGCUAGCCGUUGGGGAGCUUGCUCUUCAGUGGCGCAGCUAACGUCUUAAGCAUCCCGCCUGGGGAGUACGGUCGCAAGAUUA
rnacentral:rRNA from 1 species